GAAAAUUUUAUGAUAUUAUUUCUUAUGUUUUUAUACUUAUUUAUUUGAUUUGAAUAUAUUACAUAUUUAUUUUAUGACUUAUUAAUGAUAUUAUAAUGUAUUUGUAUUAAAUUAAAAAAUUUGAAAUAAUAUACCAAAACAACUAAUAGUUAUAUAUACCAUUUUUUUAGAAAAAAAACCGAAAUAUUAUUUGGUAAGAUAUUAACAACUUUAGUAAUAACCCAAAAUAAAUUUAUACAAUUUAAAAAAUACAUUUAAUUCUUAAGUAACUAUUUUCACAGGAAUUUGCAUAUGUUCAAUGCAUCACAUCUAAGUUAAACCAAUAAACAACUCAAUCCCAACCAGUUUUAGGAACAUAUAAUCAUCAGUCGUUAUUUAUUUUUAUCUGGCAAAGCUAAAGUAACAACUUUGCAUGUGCAACAAAAAUUUCUAAAUUUCCAUAAUUUCCAUAUAUAUAAGAACCAAAGAUAAAAAAUGAACACCCAUUUUAGAACUUGAUGAGCUGAUGAUUCUAAAACAAUUUACAUGAACUAUAAUAGUAGUAAUAAUCACUAAUACAGAACAGAGAAAUGUCAUCUUUUUCUCUCAUAUUUUGGAUAAUCAACCUCUAAACUUUUUAAAAGAAUCAAGCUCAACCCAUAACAAGAUCAUAGAUACAUUAAACGAAAAAGGUAAACGUAUUAAAUUCGAAAGAAAAAAAAAAAGGAGAAGUUCUUAUCUUUCCUUUCACAGAACAGAAUUCUUGAAUUACUUCUAUGCAUCCACAAAAGAGAUCACUCUUUCCGAUGCAUGAACUUUUACAGGUGAUCACAUGCAGGCGCAGGACUUGUAGUGAAAUACAGAGGGCGGUCGAUUGGAAAACCAGAGAUCAUAUUAGAUUUAAAACAGGGACAAAGAUUUGAUUAGACAUCGAAUGUGGAGACAGGGUAGUGAUAGGUUUUUUCUUUUUCUUUUUUUUUUUUUCCUGCGUUGGAAGACUGAAUCGUGGGCUGAAUUUGACGAACCUGGCCUGUUUUUAACUUUUUGAACAAGAGUGCGGCAGUGGCUG
rnacentral:lncRNA from 1 species